GGGUGAGGAGGAGAAGAAGGGAGAGAGGUAGUGAGGGAGAGAGGUAGUGAGGGAGAGAGGUAGAGAGGCAGAGAGGUAGUGAGGGAGAGAGGUAGUGAGGGAGAGAGGUAGUGAGGGAGAGAGGUAGAGAGGCAGAGAGGUAGUGAGGGAGAGGUAGAGAGGCAGAGAGGUAGUGAGGGAGAGGUAGAGAGGUAGUGAGGGAGAGAGGUAGAGAGGUAGUGAGGGAGAGAGGUAGAGAGGUAGUGAGGGAGAGAGGUAGUGAGGGAGAGAGGUAGUGAGGGAGAGAGGCAGAGAGGUAGUGAGGGAGAGAGGUAGUGAGGGAGAGCGGUAGAGAGCAGAGAGGUAGUGAGGGAGUGAGGUAGAGAGGUAGUGAGGGAGUGAGGUAGUGAGGGAGAGCAGUAGAGAGGCAGAGAGGUAGUGAGGGAGUGAGGUAGAGAGGUAGUGAGGGAGCGAGG
rnacentral:lncRNA from 1 species